rnacentral:misc_RNA from 1 species
GCAAACUUGGUCAUUUAGAGGAAGUAAAAGUCGUAACAAGGUUUCCGUAGGUGAACCUGCGGAAGGAUCAUUAUUGAUUCAUGGGAUGGCGGAUGUGCUGGCUUUUUGCACUGUGCACUCCUGCUUCCUUAUUACAUUCUUGCAUUUGACCCUGUGCACCUUUUGUAGGUGGGACGUUUCAAACUCCCAUCUAUGCAUUUUUUUGCUUAAACACCCUCCUGUUUUGUAUACAUUUUUUGAAAAUGGAAAAACCUUUGACAACUUUCAACAAUGGAUCUCUUGGCUCUCGCAUCGAUGAAGAACGCAGC